ACAAUUCCCUCCACGCAUCCUCCAACAAAAUCAACUGCAAAGAUGAUUAUAGGUCGUAAGGCCAUUGACGUUACAUAUUGGACAAAUGGACAUUACACCGACAGGAAGUGAAAAUAGAGGACAACAUGGAGCAAAUGUAACUGCUUCCACUCUUCUGGAAAGACUUUCAACGUUGAUUUUGGAGUGUUUCUAUGGGAAUGUUUGGCCAUUCAUCCAAUUGAAGAUCAUUCGUAAUGUCAAAGUUGACUGACUGAAAAUUAUUGCUCUGGUUCAUCCCAAACAGUCCCCAACAGAAGCAUCCAUGUGUGAAACUGUGUUUUGGUCUGAUGAAACCAAGGUUGAACAAGUUAAGCAUGCUGUUGGCAAAGUCUUGCUUUGUGGGUUUGUUUUCCUUCAACUUGAGCUGAGGCUUCAGCAAUAUAAGGUAUAAUACCAACUUGGACGAUAGUGUUUGGUCAUACAAGCAAGAUUGCGAUUUUUGUUUGGAUUUCCUAAAAAACUGAUUUGGGAGAUAUGCGGUAUAGAAAAUGGAUGGCAAGACAAAUGGAAUGUCCCAGCCACAGCCCAGACCUAAAUCCAUUGCAGUGACCAGCAGGGGCUGAGGAUGUGCUCUUUCUGUAUCCUUGACAGCGUGAUUUAAUGUUUCAAUUCUUUUGCAUUGUCCAUUCCUCCGACUUAGCGAACGUGUUUGAACUCCCCUUGGGCCUCCACUCAAGGUUAAGCGCGCGCCUUAAUCCCGCCAACCUCUCUCUUGUUUGCCUUAAUUCCCGUCACGCGCGGGUAACCGCUUUUACGUACCUGGUCAGAUAAGGGGAGCGUGGAGAAGGCGGGCACACUUUUGGCCCACUUGAUGCUCAUGAAGAGAAGGCGGGCCGCCGACUCGCACACCGACUCGGUGGCCACCUCGUACAGAUGGCCGCCUUGCAGUGAGACUUGAUUCUGUUCAAGGUCCAAGUUGCUGCCGCCAAACUUCCACAAUCAGUCCACGCUCAGCACGCACGCCGGCGCAUCGUCCUCCUUCCAAAUCCGGUCAACCGGACCGACUCGCAGCCCGUCGGCAGCCCGGCGACGGUGACCUGUGGGCGGCUGCGGUCGGUGCGCAACAGGCGUCAAAUUGGAGGGUGCUGGAGGCCGGGCGGGGUGAAAACCAGAAGCAGAAGCAGAAGCCUUUUUCCUGCAGCGGUGGAGCGGCCGGCACCGAGUUUCCUGGCCGAGCGUUGGUGGGCACAGUCUCAUGCGUCACACCUGCUGCCGAUGGUCAUCGCCGAAGUUUAUAGGCGCACCAGUGGUGUUUUGGGAUCCUAGAUUUAGCUUUCCGCCGUUCUUGACGCGCACAGCGUUAACAAUGGCGAGAAGCAGAGGCAGAGAAGGUCCCUAACUAAGCUCCAGUAAUGUGUUGUUCCCACAGAGCAG